rnacentral:rRNA from 1 species
AGCGAACGCUGGCGGCAGGCCUAACACAUGCAAGUCGAACGAACCUUUCGGGGUUAGUGGCGGACGGGUGAGUAACACGUGGGAACGUGCCUUUAGGUUCGGAAUAACUCAGGGAAACUUGUGCUAAUACCGAAUGUGCCCUUCGGGGGAAAGAUUUAUCGCCUUUAGAGCGGCCCGCGUCUGAUUAGCUAGUUGGUUGAGGUAAUGGCUCACCAAGGCGGCGAUCAGUAGCUGGUCUGAGAGGAUGAUCAGCCACAUUGGGACUGAGACACGGCCCAAACUCCUACGGGAGGCAGCAGUGGGGAAUCUUGCGCAAUGGGCGAAAGCCUGACGCAGCCAUGCCGCGUGAAUGAUGAAGGUCUUAGGAUUGUAAAAUUCUUUCACCGGGGACGAUAAUGACGGUACCCGGAGAAGAAGCCCCGGCUAACUUCGUG